CAGCGCUGGCGGCGUGCCUAAUACAUGCAAGUCGAGCGGACACGAAGGGAGCUUGCUCCCGGAUGUUAGCGGCGGACGGGUGAGUAACACGUGGGUAACCUGCCUGUAAGACUGGGAUAACUCCGGGAAACCGGAGCUAAUACCGGAUAGUUCCUUGAACCGCAUGGUUCAAGGAUGAAAGACGGUUUCGGCUGUCACUUACAGAUGGACCCGCGGCGCAUUAGCUAGUUGGUGAGGUAACGGCUCACCAAGGCGACGAUGCGUAGCCGACCUGAGAGGGUGAUCGGCCACACUGGGACUGAGACACGGCCCAGACUCCUACGGGAGGCAGCAGUAGGGAAUCUUCCGCAAUGGACGAAAGUCUGACGGAGCAACGCCGCGUGAGUGAUGAAGGUUUUCGGAUCGUAAAGCUCUGUUGUUAGGGAAGAACAAGUGCAAGAGUAACUGCCUCUUGUACCUAGCAGCCGCGGUACG
rnacentral:rRNA from 1 species